GGAAAAAGGAGUGGAAGGAAAGUGAAUGGGUAAAGGGGGUCAACUGUAUGGUGACUGGUGGAAACUACACUUUUGGUGGUGAGUACCCUUCUGUAGUGUAUACAGAGAAGAAAUACAGUGUGGAACCUGUGCUCAGUUCCACAGCUGUGUCUGACUCUCUGCAGCCCCAUGGACUGUAGCCUGUUUCUCUGUCCACGGAAUUCUUCAGGCAAGAAUAUUGGAGUGAGUUGCUGUUUCCUCUUCCCGGGGCCCGACGGAUUGAACCUGUGUCUCUUGUGUCUCCUGCAUUGAGUCCAGGAGCUGCAAAUACUGAAGCCUAAAGCCUGUCCUCUACAACAAGAGAAGUCACCACAAUGAGAAGCCAGUGCACUGCAACUAGAGAGCAGCCCCUGUUGGCCACAAAUAGAGGAAGGCCCCCACA
ensembl:lncRNA